rnacentral:lncRNA from 1 species
GGUUCUGAUCGCUGGCAAGGGAAUCUGCAAUUCCUGUAGGGUCUUGUAACCAGUUGGACCGGAUGCAAAGCAAAUUUUUAAUGCCUUCUUAAUUGUUUCAUUGCUCCAUUUCAUACUUUUUGUGACCCAGGUAACUGGCUGAUGGCUCACUGGAAUGCUGACUGGCUGCUGACUGACUUGCUGCAUGCUGACUGGGUCUAAGGGUGCAUCGUGGAGCAGGGGCCCUCCUCUUUUUGACCACAGGAUGAUGCACAAAGAUUGUGGGAAUAGCAUCUGGUCUCAGCCUACUCUUGAAUUUUUUGGUCAUGACAAAUUGAUUUGCCUCAAAAUGUGCCUGCAGAGUAACUUGAGUUUAGUUUCCACACAAAACUUUUUUUUUUUUUUUUGUCUACCCACAUACAGUACAUAUCACACGGUGGUUAAAUGCACAGUUAUAGGUAACACUAAUGACUCCCUCCAAUGUCUCACCAUGAGUCUCAUCUCCCUGGGUUUUGCAAGGCUUUGCUUGUUCCUUAUUUCCAGUAAAUAAUUGUCCAUGUAAAAAGUGCAAAUAAAUGUAAGUAUAAUUACCUCACAAAUUUUUUUGUUGUUGUAAUUUUUAUUUAGAUUUAGAUUGCUCCUGCUGACUUGAGCCAACCAUUUUUUUUUCUCCUCUCCAUGUCAGCGGGGAAGCCAUACAUUCGCACACCUUUCUCUGACCGAGUGGAGCAACCCCAUGCAGCACAGCAAACCAUGGUGGAUACUAUGCAAGAGCAACAAGAAAGAAAGCACACAUACAAAAUGCU